UACGUAGGGUGCAAGCGUUGUCCGGAAUUAUUGGGCGUAAAGAGCUCGUAGGCGGCCUGUCGCGUCGGCUGUGAAAAACCCGGGGCUCAACCCCCGGGCCUGCAGUCGAUACGGGCAGGCUAGAGUCCGGCAGGGGAGACUGGAAUUCCUGGUGUAGCGGUGGAAUGCGCAGAUAUCAGGAGGAACACCGAUGGCGAAGGCAGAUCUCUGGGGCCUAACUGACGCUGAGGAGCGAAAAGCGUGGGGGGAGC
rnacentral:rRNA from 1 species